GAUGAACGCUGGCGGCGUGCCUAAUACAUGCAAGUCGAGCGAACAGAUAAGGAGCUUGCUCCUUUGACGUUAGCUGCGGACGGGUGAGUAACACGUGGAUAACCUACCUAUAAGACUGGGAUAACUUCGGGAAACCGGAGCUAAUACCGGAUAACAUAUUGAACCGCAUGGUUCAAUAGUGAAAGGCGGCUUUGCUGUCACUUAUAGAUGGAUCCGCGCCGUAUUAGCUAGUUGGUAAGGUAACGGCUUACCAAGGCAACGAUACGUAGCCGACCUGAGAGGGUGAUCGGCCACACUGGAACUGAGACACGGUCCAGACUCCUACGGGAGGCAGCAGUAGGGAAUCUUCCGCAAUGGGCGAAAGCCUGACGGAGCAACGCCGCGUGAGUGAUGAAGGUCUUCGGAUCGUAAAACUCUGUUAUCAGGGAAGAACAAAUGUGUAAGUAACUGUGCACAUCUUGACGGUACCUGAUCAGAAAGCCACGGCUAACUACGUG
rnacentral:rRNA from 1 species